GCUGGGGGGAACUCCCUCUCCAGUUCGCCUGGGACGCUGCCUUUCGGCCUCCAUACAUGGCGGGGACCUCGGAGGCCUGUCCCGCUUGGACCCCCAAGUGGUCCCCGGGUGACACCCAAGUAAAGGCCACCUCCUUCUCCAGGCAGGAGCUGGCCACACGAUGAGGAUGCCCCGGAAGGGGGUGCGAGGCGGUGGGAUGCAGACACGAAUCCUGCCUUCCAGGGCUUACUCGCUGCCUGGGUAUUGGGGGGUUUUGAGAGGAGAGAGUAUAGGUGAUCGGUGACUUAGCAAGAGAGACUGCACAUCUCGGUUUUUUGCAGAAGUCGUUGCCUUGGAAAAAGAAUUGGAUACUGUUGUGGAUUCCAUCAUCUAGCAAUAACAAAACAUGGUUAUGCAGUGGGAAUUAAUUACACGGGUAAAUUUCCAGGUGGUGUGAUUACAGGUGUGAGCCACUGCCCCCAGCCCAGGAAGAAGCUGUGUUCUAUGCUGAUACCGUUUCUCUGUGGGGAUCCUCAAACUGGUUGGUAUUAGCUAUUUCACAGGAAUUUGGGGCCUGAAAAACAUCUUAAGCAAUCUUUACAGUAAGCCUUAUGAUCCUAGUGUCAGAGAUCCUGUCUGUAGGAACAAUGGGAUGCAAUGGUCAGGAACUAGUGCUACGUGACAUUUAGCAACAACGAAGUAGGCCAAAGUGCAGCCUGAAGGAUGCUAAUUAUAACAAUAUUUCUGUCCGGAACCGGGCGUGCAGUUCUUGUCAACCCUGUGGGGACGGUUUCAGUCCUUUUGGUGAAGGUGUGGCUCCUGAAGGAUGAAGUGAUCUCAGUUCUAACUCUGUACCUUAGGUGGGCCUCCGCUUGUCUCCCGUACCCCACAUGGGAUUUAAAACAAGCCUUGGCAAGGUGUAGUGGCUCACACCUGUCAUCCAAACACUUUCGCAGGCCAAGGCAGGUGGAUCACCUGAGAUCAGGAGUUCAAGAGCAGCCUGGCCAACGUGAUAAAACCCC
rnacentral:lncRNA from 1 species